UACAGAGGUCUCGAGCGUUGUUCGGAUUCAUUGGGCGUAAAGGGCGCGUAGGCGGCGGGGUAAGUCUGGUGUGAAAUCUCGGAGCUCAACUCCGAAAUUGCACUGGAUACUGCUCUGCUAGAGGGCUGGAGAGGAGAUCGGAAUUCACGGUGUAGCAGUGAAAUGCGUAGAUAUCGUGAGGAACACCGGUGGCGAAGGCGGCAUCCUGGACCAAUUCUGACGCUGAUGAGCGAAAGCCAGGGGAGCAAACGGG
rnacentral:rRNA from 1 species